rnacentral:rRNA from 1 species
AGUGAACGCUGGCGGUAGGCCUAACACAUGCAAGUCGAACGGCAGCACAGUAAGAGCUUGCUCUUACGGGUGGCGAGUGGCGGACGGGUGAGGAAUACAUCGGAAUCUACUUUUUCGUGGGGGAUAACGUAGGGAAACUUACGCUAAUACCGCAUACGACCUACGGGUGAAAGCAGGGGAUCUUCGGACCUUGCGCGAUUGAAUGAGCCGAUGUCGGAUUAGCUAGUUGGCGGGGUAAAGGCCCACCAAGGCGACGAUCCGUAGCUGGUCUGAGAGGAUGAUCAGCCACACUGGAACUGAGACACGGUCCAGACUCCUACGGGAGGCAGCAGUGGGGAAUAUUGGACAAUGGGCGCAAGCCUGAUCCAGCCAUACCGCGUGGGUGAAGAAGGCCUUCGGGUAGUAAAGCCCUUUUGUUGGGAAAGAAAAGCAGCAGGUUAAUACCCCGCUGUUCCGACGGUACCCAAAGAAUAAGCACCGGCUAACUUCGUG